CUGUUAUUACUUGGCAAACACUCCUUCCUAUGGGUGUGUAAGUUAGUUUGUAACAACAAUAUAGAUCAUGUGACAAAAUCAAAGGAGCUCCAGGUCCUCUAGUGUCAGAUUGGUAUGAGAGAAGUUUCAGAAUAGGAAGGAAGUUAGUAGGUGUGACUCAUACCACUGGGGACUACUAUGGCCAUACUCUUAUCAUUUCUCUUACAUCUCUUCCUCCUGGAACCACAGACCCCAUGUCCACACAACAAUAACUCUAAGGACCCUGAAGCGCACACACAAGUUUCUACUUUUGUAGGACUACUGUGUUCUGAAGCGGAGACGGCUCCCUCAUCUGGAGACGCUGUGCUGGUGCAUCAGUUAGCUACUGCUGGGUCCCUACUGGCCAACCAACCUAUUCUUCCAACAAGAGCCAUCUAUACUGAACAAAAAUAUAAACGCAACAUGUAAAAAGUGUUGGUCCCAUGUUUUAUGAGCUGAAAUAAAAGAUCCCAGAAAUGUUC